AGAGUUUGAUCCUGGCUCAGAUUGAACGCUGGCGGCAGGCCUAACACAUGCAAGUCGAACGGUAACAUUUCUAGCUUGCUAGAAGAUGACGAGUGGCGGACGGGUGAGUAAUGCUUGGGAACUUGCCUUUGCGAGGGGGAUAACAGUUGGAAACGACUGCUAAUACCGCAUAAUGUCUUCGGACCAAACGGGGCUUAGGCUCCGGCGCAAAGAGAGGCCCAAGUGAGAUUAGCUAGUUGGUAAGGUAACGGCUUACCAAGGCGACGAUCUCUAGCUGUUCUGAGAGGAAGAUCAGCCACACUGGGACUGAGACACGGCCCAGACUCCUACGGGAGGCAGCAGUGGGGAAUAUUGCAUAAUGGGGGAAACCCUGAUGCAGCCAUGCCGCGUGUGUGAAGAAGGCCUUCGGGUUGUAAAGCACUUUCAGUUGUGAGGAAAAGUUGGUAGUUAAUACCUGCUAGCCGUGACGUUAACAACAGAAGAAGCACCGGCUAACUCCGUGCCAGCAGCCGCGGUAAUACGGAGGGUGCGAGCGUUAAUCGGAAUUACUGGGCGUAAAGCGCACGCAGGCGGUUUGUUAAGCUAGAUGUGAAAGCCCCGGGCUCAACCUGGGAUGGUCAUUUAGAACUGGCAGACUAGAGUCUUGGAGAGGGGAGUGGAAUUCCAGGUGUAGCGGUGAAAUGCGUAGAUAUCUGGAGGAACAUCAGUGGCGAAGGCGACUCCCUGGCCAAAGACUGACGCUCAUGUGCGAAAGUGUGGGUAGCGAACAGGAUUAGAUACCCUGGUAGUCCACACCGUAAACGCUGUCUACUAGCUGUGUGUGCCUUUAAAGGCGUGCGUAGCGAAGCUAACGCGCU
rnacentral:rRNA from 1 species